CGCAACCCCCGCCGUUAGUUGCCAGCGGUUCGGCCGGGCACUCUAACGGGACUGCCCGCGAAAGCGGGAGGAAGGAGGGGACGACGUCUGGUCAGCAUGGCCCUUACGGCCUGGGCGACACACGUGCUACAAUGCCCACUACAAAGCGAUGCCACCCGGCAACGGGGAGCUAAUCGCAAAAAGGUGGGCCCAGUUCGGAUUGGGGUCUGCAACCCGACCCCAUGAAGCCGGAAUCGCUAGUAAUCGCGGAUCAGCCAUGCCGCGGUGAAUACGUUCCCGGGCCUU
rnacentral:rRNA from 1 species